UACGUAGGGACCGAGCGUUGUCCGGAAUCAUUGGGCGUAAAGAGCGUGUAGGCGGCCCCUUAAGUCCUGCGUGAAAUCCUGCGGCUCAACCGCAGACGGUCGUGGGAAACUGGAGGGCUAGAGUGCGGGAGAGGAGAGUGGAAUUCCUGGUGUAGCGGUGAAAUGCGCAGAUAUCAGGAAGAACACCCGUGGCGAAGGCGGCUCUCUGGAACGCAACUGACGCUGAGACGCGAAAGCGUGGGGAGCAAACAGG
rnacentral:rRNA from 1 species